CACCAUGAAGGCCGCAUAACGAGGGCGCUCCUGGCUGAACCAGAGUAACUAUAGAAAUUUCCCCAUAUAAAUAAACUUACUUGGUUAAUGUGACAAGUUUAUGCCAAAGAAAAGGAGACAAGAACUGCUGUAACACCAUUUCAAAUAAUAAACGCCGACGGAAAUCAGAUGGGCGAGAAAGACGGGGUGCAGCAACAGUUAGCAGCUAACAAGCUUAAACUAGCAACUAACAAGGCAGAGUGUAUAAAAAUGACCAUAUCUGAACUGAUUCUGCGAUUCUGACAUUGAGUGGCUCCAGAGGGACUUUGGCUUGUAUGUUGUCAACCUUUUUGACACACAUCAGGCAAGCCGGGCUCUCAACCUGGUCAGGCAUUCACUGGACACUUCUGCAAUGUGGACUCACAAACGUUACCGGCUGGCUGACUGGAGGACUCGCCCCUUACCUGAUGAGAUGGUGCAGUAUGCCCGGACAGACACUCACUACCUUCUUUAUAUCUAUGACUGUGUGAGGGCACAGCUGCUGGACUUCAACCAAGGACAGCCAGGCUUGCUGCAGAGUGUCUGGAACAAAAGCCUUUCCCUCAAGACAUCCUGAAGUCAUUUGUGAGGAGAGUGGACACAUCCCAAACAUUCAACAUCAAUGUGACAAGAGAGGACCUGUUUCACAGGGGCCUUAAACAGUGGGCCAGGCAAAAACAGGCGUCCCCCAAGAAUCUCCUCCGGGUCUCUUUCAUUGGAGAACAUGGAAUUGACCAAGGCGCACUUCAUAAAGAGUUCCUUACUGGUAUUUACUCCAUUCCUGGGCUAACACUAAUGUUUACUUGGAAAUUUAACAUUAUUGCGUAUUAAAAUACCAAAAAGAAAAUGGUCUAACACCAUUUUGUAUAAACUGUUGGCAUCUGUCUGUCUUAAGAAUUUGUGGAGAGAUUUUUGCCACAAGUUUGGUACGGAGGGGUCCUGCCCCAAAAUCCUGACAAAAUGGUGCUACCAUUUUCUGUGCCAUGGAGAGAUGAAGAAGGAUGUCAUGUCCAAUGAAAGUGACUGAUAGGGAAAUGAAAAGCGAAUGAAAUAAAAAUGAAAAGAGGUACUCAAACAUUUCCGCUGAUGUAUACUUUUUACAUGUCAUGAUUUUAAGUUUGUAGAAAUAUUUGUUACUGAUGUGUUUCUAUUUUCAAAGAAAGGAAAGGAUGAUGGAAUUAUCACACCCAAUUGUGGCAGGUGGAAAGGGGCGCAGCUAUUAACUUUCUGAAGUAUGCGGGCACAUUUAGCACCGGGUGGAGCUACCAGCUCAGGUAUUACCAUGACAGCCUUCAUGCAGAAUAAAUUCAAUUAUUACUUCCU